rnacentral:rRNA from 1 species
AUUAUUUGAAAAUGGGGAGAACCCUGAUCUAGCCAUGCCGCGUGUGUGAAGAAGGAAAUAGGAUUGUACAGCACUUUAAGUAGAGAGAAAGAGUUGUAGGCUACUACCUUGCAAUUUUCACGAUACCAAUAGAAUAAGCACCCGCUAACUUAGUGCUAGCAGCCGCGGUAAUACGAAGGGUGCAAGCGUUAAACGGAACUACUGGGCGUAAAGCGCGCGUAGUUGGUUCGUUAAGUUGGAAGUGAAAGCCCCGGGCUUAACCUGGGAAUUGCUUUCAAAACUGACGAGCUAGAGUACGGUAGAGGGUAGUGGAAUUUCCUGUGUAGCGGUGAAAUGCGUAGAUAUAGGAAGGAACAUCAGUGGCGAAGGCGACUACCUGGACUGAUACUGACACUGAGGUGCGAAAGCGUGGGGAGCAAACAGG